rnacentral:lncRNA from 1 species
UCUCCCCUUGCUGCAAAGUUUCUGGUGCGUGAAAGGAAGAAUUGGGGAGAAAGUGGAUAGGGUUCCAGGGCUGUUGGGGGAAUUUGGAAUUGAAAUGUGAGAGCUAUGGAGCCAAAAAAAAAAAUUCAACGAGAAAGAGUGUAAUAGUGGCUCUGACAUAAAUCAGAGAUUCUGUAAUGAGGAAUUAGGGUGCUGCUAGAUGUACAGAACGUUUCUUUACAGAGUCUACACAGAAUGACGUGGCAGCUGAGGAUUAUUAAAAAAAAAAAAGUCUCCAGUGAUUUCCUUCAUUUCAUUCCCGUCGCCUCUCCACCUGAAACUGGGAACCCUAGAAUCACGCCUCCGUCAACCUCCGACUGGGGCCACCAUCCUUCUCAACCUUCGACCGACGAUUUUAAAUGUGGCCAGAUUUGCAAUCAUCGAAAGCACAGUGAAAGCGGGUCCUUCAUCUUCACCACCGUCCACAAACGCCGCAUUCUUGGUCGACUCAGUCCACAACAGCUAGGUAUCUUCACCUUCGUCCACGAACGCCAACUGAUUUCCACCGUCGACAAUGAACUCAGUCCACAGCAACAAUAUUCUUUGUCAAACGUUGUGAAAAAGGAAGUUUAGAAAAUUGUGAAAAAGGUUUUGAAGAACGAUUUGAAGCUUGUUCAGUAUGCAACUGUUGUGAGAAUCAAACAAAUUCCCUAUUCUCUGUAAAUUGUGAAACUUGUGAAAAACGUUUUGAAGUUUGUUCAAUAUGUAAUUGCUGUGAGAAACUAGUGUAAUUCCCUUUUCUCUGUAAAUUGUUGGGAGAAACAAGUGUAAUCUUCUUGCUGUAUUUUAUUAUUUUUUUGCUAUAUCUCUCAAAUUGUGGAGUCCAGUCAACCAACCAUUUUAACACUUGUAAAUGGAUACUACAAUUUUGGGAGUCCAGUAAACUAUUUUGACACUAGUAAAUGGAUACUGCAAUUUUGGUUGCUAUUAGUUUUCUGUUGCUUAAAUUGCGUAAAUGGAUACUACAAUUUUAUUUUAUUUUUUUUUUGACUGGGGAUGCCUACACAUUGUGCUCCAAAGUUGCAAAAGAAAAAUCGAAGAAAAAAGCUAGAGAAGAAAGUGGACUCGGCAAUUUCCAUAUGUGGGUAAGACAACUCUUGAGUGGACUGAAGAAGAGAGUGAAGCUACUCGAUUGGAAAAGGAAAUCAGCUCCUCCAAGAGAGUGGUUGGAGAAGAGAAUGCCGAUCGCUCAAAUAGCCAAUGCUCAGCUCCGGUGCUCGUGAGGUUGGAGAUGAAGUGGAGUAGCUAAUUUCCCCACUUCAAUUUUCAAUUUUAUCGCAUCCAGUUUCGGGGAUAAUGAAGUCGGCUUUGGCGGGUUAUGAGGUAAAACAUAG